CGCACAUUGCGCCCAUUGGUACUCCGAUGGGCAUGCACGUUCGAGCGUCAUUAGACACCCUCAAGUUUACCUUGGUGUUAGGCUGUGCUGGUUACCCAGCUAGCCCUAAAAUCAGUGGCGGCUGCCACCGGCUCUAAGCGUAGUAAAUAUCCUCGCUCUUGCGCCUGGUGGGUGCUUGCCAACAACCCCCAAAUCUUAUGUUUGACCUCGGAUCGUGUAGGAAUACCCGCUGAACUUAA
rnacentral:misc_RNA from 1 species